AACCCUAGUCAGUGCCCUCAUCCGCAGAUGUUCGGAGCCAGUGCGGAGAAAGUGAAGGUGGAGAACAAAACGUGGAAAGUUGAUGCUGGAACUAGAACUAUCGAUAUAGAGUUGACCACCUUAUCAAGUACAAACCACGUGGAGCUCACUCCCAGCGAUACAAAACUAACAUCCACAGAAGAGGGUAAGUUGGCAAGGUCUAAUGUGAGUCUAGGAGGUUGAGUGUAUACUACUUUGAAGGGGCAUCUUCCCGUUGAUCUAUCUUCAUGUUAUUAAAGGAAAACUCCAAUUGAGCAAGGACAAAUCCCAUUUCUU